rnacentral:sRNA from 1 species
GUGUCCCCUGCUAGCCUUUGGCCGUGUGACCCGCAGGCACCGGGAGAUCCAGAAGUGAAACGUCAGGCUCUCUGGAGGCCAGGAGAUGGUGUGAUUUGUCCAGAGAAUCUUUCCUAAGAGGAAAUCCCAGAGAAGCAGGAGAAAGAGAAAGGAAUGGCUGGUGCUCAGACACUGUUGACGUUCAGGGAUGUGGCCAUAGAAUUCUCCCUGGAGGAGUGGAAAUGCCUGGAUCUUGCUCAGCAGAAUUUGUACAGGGAUGUGAUGUUGGAGAACUACAGAAACUUGUUCUCCAUUGGUCUCACUGUCUCUAAGCCAGGCCUGAUCACCUGCCUGGAGCAAAGAAAAGAGCCCUGGAAUGUGAAGAGACAGGAGGCAGUAGACGGACAUCCAGAUAUUUUCUCUGUGGUUACCAUGGAAAUUAUAUAAAACAUCUUAAAGUUACAAGAUAUUUUACACUGAGAUGGGAUUUCACCAUACCACUCAGGCUUGUCUCGAACUCCUGGGCUCAAGCGAUCUGCCUGCCUCAGCCUCCCAAAGUG